rnacentral:rRNA from 1 species
GAUGAACGCUGGCGGCGUGCCUAAUACAUACAAGUCGAGCGAACAGACGAGGAGCUUGCUCCUUUGACGUUAGCGGCGGACGGGUGAGUAACACGUAGGUAACCUACCUAUAAGACUGGGAUAACUUCGGGAAACCGGAGCUAAUACCGGAUAAUAUUUCGAACCGCAUGGUUCGAUAGUGAAAGAUGGCUUUGCUAUCACUUAUAGAUGGACCUGCGCCGUAUUAGCUAGUUGGUAAGGUAACGGCUUACCAAGGCAACGAUACGUAGCCGACCUGAGAGGGUGAUCGGCCACACUGGAACUGAGACACGGUCCAGACUCCUACGGGAGGCAGCAGUAGGGAAUCUUCCGCAAUGGGCGAAAGCCUGACGGAGCAACGCCGCGUGAGUGAUGAAGGUCUUCGGAUCGUAAAACUCUGUUAUUAGGGAAGAACAAACGUGUAAGUAACUGUGCACGUCUUGACGGUACCUAAUCAGAAAGCCACGGCUAACUACGUG